AUAGCCAUAUCACGUUGAAAUACCGGUUCUCCUACGAUCACCAAAGUUAAGCAGCGUCGAACCUGGUCAGUACCUAAAUGGGUGACCGUUUGGGAAUACCAGGUGCUGUAUG